rnacentral:rRNA from 1 species
GCAAAACGCGAAGAACCUUACCUAGGCUUGACAUGCAUCUCUAAGCGCGUGAAAGCGCGUGACCCUUCGGGGGAUUUGCACAGGUGCUGCAUGGCCGUCGUCAGCUCGUGUCGUGAGAUGUUGGGUUAAGUCCCGCAACGAGCGCAACCCUUGUGAACAGUUGCCAGCACUUAAGGUGGGAACUCUGUUCAGACUGCCCAGAUCAACUGGGAGGAAGGUGGGGACGACGUCAGGUCAGUAUGGCCCUUACGCCUAGGGCUGCACACGUACUACAAUGCCCAGCACAAUGAGAACCGAGACCGCGAGGUGGAGGAAAUCUAAAAAACUGGGCCCAGUUCGGGUUGGAGGCUGCAACUCGCCUCCACGAAGUUGGAAUCGCUAGUAAUGGCGCAUCAGCUACGGCGCCGUGAAUACGUUCCCGGGUCUUGUACACACCG